UCUGUGUACCUGUUUGUGUAGCUAGGGCUGUCAGACUCUAGGGAUUGAGCUGUGAAUAGCUUCAAAAGUCAGACUGCAGAAUUAGGACUCCUUCAGAUUGGCUACUGUCACCUUCAUGGUAUCACCACCAAGUCCUGCUGAGGAUGAACUGCACUUUCAAGAAUGCCCUUCCUUGUAGAGUUUUGGGUUAGUUUGCCUGAAAGAGCAGAAGGUGGAAAUGCCACGGUCAUUCUUCUCAGAGGAUUCAGAGAGCAGACCUAGCAGGCUCCCAGACCUCUUUUCAAUACCUUCUUGGUUUCAGGGUUGGAGAAUCCCCUGUUCCAGGACACCAGCUCUCAUUCCACAAGGAAGUUACAGGUAGGAAGACCUCAAAGUUGUACAAGGCAGAACUAGCUGCCUAUAUAAGGAGGACUGACAUGUGUACCAUAAACUAAAGGAGAACAUCAUCAAUUGGAAGAACUGUACAAGGUGCCUUGCCCAAUGAGCAGUGGAUCCCAUCCCCCAGGAUUUUCAAACAGCAUCUGUAGACACCCCAAUCAGAGAUCCAGUACUAGGUGGAGCCCCUCAUUCCAGAUUGGAAAUGCACGAUAUGAUCCUCUCGUGAUCCUGGAUAAUGGUAGUGAGCCACACCUUCUAGUCAGCCUGUGAUCUUGAGAGAAAACAGCUGGCACUUUACUGUGUACUGUUGCUAAGCUAUGUUGGGUGGUGCCUAAGCCAAUAUGAAGUCAUCAUGUCGGCUUCAAUCCAAGCUGCCCAAGGUCCUAGGCAAGAGGAUUUGGCAGAGGCAGAAGUUGAAUGGUAACACAGUAGUAAUCGAGCUUUGGCUAACCCUAAAAAGAUCUCUAGAACGAGAUGGACCUUCAGAGAUGUUCCAAGUAGAGGCAGGCACCACCUCCACUUUGGUCCCCUCGCAUCAAACAGCAACUGGACUUGUCUUGGCCUGGAGAAAGGACAUAAAAUAGGCUUUCCUUCUACAGAUGGUGAUUCCAUGGGAGGGUCCCAGCUGCUACCAUCAGCACAUGGCACUCUUAGCAGCUGGGAGAAUGGGCUUCAGUUGUGAAGCAUGGACCUAUGUGGUACUUGCAGCAUCACUACGAGCACCAAAGUUUCAUUUCCACUCCUGGCAGAGUUGAGAUCAGCUUGUGUCUAUCAUUACCUCCACUGUCAACUGAGUCUUCAAAGUGAUUUCUAUAUUCAAAACUAUCGAAAAACUUACAGGAGACCUGGUUGAAUAAAAUCCACUUGUCACAGGGUUUAAAAAUGACUUUUAUCAGCUCUUUCUUUCCCACUCAUUCUAGAUUUUCUUCACCUUUGGCAAACACUUUGGCUGCUCAGUUACUUCCUCAUUUUGGUGAUUUAGAUUUUCAUCCCUGUGGACUCUGAAUAUUUAGUAACUCUUGUUAAGCCUUGAGCACUGCUAUUGUUCAUUCACCAUUUCCAGUGGAAGAACCAAAAGCCAUUCUCUAUGAGUUCCUAAGUUCUAGCCCCAUUCAUCCUGCUCUCAUUUUAUAGUAGCAACAUGGGUCUCAACGUAAUUCAUUUUUUUAACCUAUGCCUCCAUUUGCAUAGGCAGUUCAA